rnacentral:rRNA from 1 species
GAUGAACGCUGGCGGCGUGCUUAACACAUGCAAGUCGAACGGAAAGGCCCAAGCUUGCUUGGGUACUCGAGUGGCGAACGGGUGAGUAACACGUGGGUGAUCUGCCCUGCACUUCGGGAUAAGCCUGGGAAACUGGGUCUAAUACCGGAUAGGAGCACUUCUUGCAUGGUGUGGUGGAAAGUUUUUUCGGUGUGGGAUGUGGUCGCGGCCUUUAAGAGUGUGGGUGUGGGAAUGGCCUACAAAGGCGUCGACGGGUAGCCGGCCUGUGAGGGUGUACGGCGACAUUUUGGCUCUGAUACGGCCCACACUCCUCUGGGGGGCAGCAGUGGGGAAUAUUUCACACUGUGCGCAAGCCCCAUGCAGCGACGCCGCGUGGGCGAUGUCGCCCUUCGGGUUGUAUACUCCUUUCUCGAGUGUCGAAGCGUUUUUGUGACGGUACCUGGUGAAGAAGCACCGGCUAACUACGUG